rnacentral:rRNA from 1 species
UACGAAGGGUGCAAGCGUUACUCGGAAUUACUGGGCGUAAAGCGUGCGUAGGUGGUUUUUUAAGUCCGUUGUGAAAGCCCUGGGCUCAACCUGGGAAUGGCAGUGGAUACUGGAAAGCUAGAGUGCGGUAGAGGGUAGUGAAUUCCCGGUGUAGCAGUGAAAUGCGUAGAGAUCGGGAGGAACACCAGUGGCGAAGGCGGCUACCUGGACCAGCACUGACACUGAGGCACGAAAGCGUGGGGAGCAAACAGG